GGGUUGUGAGGUUAAGCGACUAAGCGUACACGGUGGAUGCCCUGGCAGUCAGAGGCGAUGAAGGACGUGCUAAUCUGCGAUAAGCGUCGGUAAGGUGAUAUGAACCGUUAUAACCGGCGAUUUCCGAAUGGGGAAACCCAGUGUGAUUCGUCACACUAUCAUUAACUGAAUCCAUAGGUUAAUGAGGCGAACCGGGGGAACUGAAACAUCUAAGUACCCCGAGGAAAAGAAAUCAACCGAGAUUCCCCCAGUAGCGGCGAGCGAACGGGGAGCAGCCCAGAGCCUGAAUCAGUGUGUGUGUUAGUGGAAGCGUCUGGAAAGGCGCGCGAUACAGGGUGACAGCCCCGUACACAAAAAUGCACAUGCUGUGAGCUCGAUGAGUAGGGCGGGACACGUGGUAUCCUGUCUGAAUAUGGGGGGACCAUCCUCCAAGGCUAAAUACUCCUGACUGACCGAUAGUGAACCAGUACCGUGAGGGAAAGGCGAAAAGAACCCCGGCGAGGGGAGUGAAAAAGAACCUGAAACCGUGUACGUACAAGCAGUGGGAGCACGCUUAGGCGUGUGACUGCGUACCUUUUGUAUAAUGGGUCAGCGACUUAUAUUCUGUAGCAAGGUUAACCGAAUAGGGGAGCCGAAGGGAAACCGAGUCUUAACUGGGCGUUAAGUUGCAGGGUAUAGACCCGAAACCCGGUGAUCUAGCCAUGGGCAGGUUGAAGGUUGGGUAACACUAACUGGAGGACCGAACCGACUAAUGUUGAAAAAUUAGCGGAUGACUUGUGGCUGGGGGUGAAAGGCCAAUCAAACCGGGAGAUAGCUGGUUCUCCCCGAAAGCUAUUUAGGUAGCGCCUCGUGAAUUCAUCUCCGGGGGUAGAGCACUGUUUCGGCAAGGGGGUCAUCCCGACUUACCAACCCGAUGCAAACUGCGAAUACCGGAGAAUGUUAUCACGGGAGACACACGGCGGGUGCUAACGUCCGUCGUGAAGAGGGAAACAACCCAGACCGCCAGCUAAGGUCCCAAAGUCAUGGUUAAGUGGGAAACGAUGUGGGAAGGCCCAGACAGCCAGGAUGUUGGCUUAGAAGCAGCCAUCAUUUAAAGAAAGCGUAAUAGCUCACUGGUCGAGUCGGCCUGCGCGGAAGAUGUAACGGGGCUAAACCAUGCACCGAAGCUGCGGCAGCGACGCUGAUGCGUUGUUGGGUAGGGGAGCGUUCUGUAAGCCUGUGAAGGUGUGCUGUGAGGCAUGCUGGAGGUAUCAGAAGUGCGAAUGCUGACAUAAGUAACGAUAAAGCGGGUGAAAAGCCCGCUCGCCGGAAGACCAAGGGUUCCUGUCCAACGUUAAUCGGGGCAGGGUGAGUCGACCCCUAAGGCGAGGCCGAAAGGCGUAGUCGAUGGGAAACAGGUUAAUAUUCCUGUACUUGGUGUUACUGCGAAGGGGGGACGGAGAAGGCUAUGUUGGCCGGGCGACGGUUGUCCCGGUUUAAGCGUGUAGGCUGGUUUUCCAGGCAAAUCCGGAAAAUCAAGGCUGAGGCGUGAUGACGAGGCACUACGGUGCUGAAGCAACAAAUGCCCUGCUUCCAGGAAAAGCCUCUAAGCAUCAGGUAACAUCAAAUCGUACCCCAAACCGACACAGGUGGUCAGGUAGAGAAUACCAAGGCGCUUGAGAGAACUCGGGUGAAGGAACUAGGCAAAAUGGUGCCGUAACUUCGGGAGAAGGCACGCUGAUAUGUAGGUGAAGUCCCUCGCGGAUGGAGCUGAAAUCAGUCGAAGAUACCAGCUGGCUGCAACUGUUUAUUAAAAACACAGCACUGUGCAAACACGAAAGUGGACGUAUACGGUGUGACGCCUGCCCGGUGCCGGAAGGUUAAUUGAUGGGGUCAGCGCAAGCGAAGCUCUUGAUCGAAGCCCCGGUAAACGGCGGCCGUAACUAUAACGGUCCUAAGGUAGCGAAAUUCCUUGUCGGGUAAGUUCCGACCUGCACGAAUGGCGUAAUGAUGGCCAGGCUGUCUCCACCCGAGACUCAGUGAAAUUGAACUCGCUGUGAAGAUGCAGUGUACCCGCGGCAAGACGGAAAGACCCCGUGAACCUUUACUAUAGCUUGACACUGAACAUUGAGCCUUGAUGUGUAGGAUAGGUGGGAGGCUUUGAAGUGUGG
rnacentral:rRNA from 2 species